ACCCGUCUGCAAGCCAGGAAGAGAGCCCUCGCCAGAAACUAAACCCCGCUGGAAACUUGAUUUUGCGCUUUCCAGCCUCUAGAAUUAAUAUGUGAAAAACAUUUAAAUCAGAAAGUAAAUGACAGGAUGAUUUGCAAGACACAGGGAUGUAAAAUUAAAAAGCCUCUCGAGCUCCAAAGCUACCUGUUAACUUCAACAAGCACAGUGGCCUGGAGACUACAUGAUGGUGUAUCAGUGAUGGUGCCUCUCCAUCAUUGCCCAUCAAAGACAUUUCUGAUGCUCCAGAAGGAUACCCUUGAGGUCAUCCUGUUCUCACCUCCAAUAUUCAUUAUGAUCUCUAACAUCACUAUAUACAACAUUUUUGUAUAUACAGAA
rnacentral:lncRNA from 1 species